rnacentral:lncRNA from 1 species
AUGGCAAGUAUUCUCUUUGUCUACAAACACAAAAGCAAUAUGGGCUUUCUGGUUAUCAUUCGUAUGUUUUUCACCCUUACUUUGUGUGAGCUGUUACAUCUGAGAAACAUUAAGAUAUUUUCUUCUACGGCACACAUGAAAGGAGGCUGUUCAGCAACAGAUGGAUUAAAAAACAAGCCGUGUUUACUUCCAGCAAUUUUCCAUCCGUGGGCACCACUUUUCCCAGUAGCACAAACCAGAAGAACGGGCAGCGGGAAACAGCGGUUGGGCCACUGGGGACCCCCCGCUGCCCUUCUGGGGUUUCUCAGCACAGGCAGCACCGUCCGCCCUGCUCUCCUUUGGAGGCUGGUACAAACAUCCAGCGUAAAUAUUCCUUUUUCACGGUAUCUCACGAUUCUGCGUACGACACCCCGUUACUCGUGGUUCCUCCCGUUUAUAUGCUCACUCCCAGGCUUUCUUGAUUUGGGGAAGACCUGGCUACAGCCCCCCCGUUUUUCCUGUGAGCGCAGCCUUCGCUCGGCCUCUUUUCACGGAGAAGUGAGGAAACCGCACGUCGGAAAGACCUGGAGGUGCCCGUGGCGGACAUCUUGUCGGAGGCAGCCCUGGUGGACUACAGCCCCCAGCAUGCUCCGCGGCCGGCCGGCUGGACUACAGCGCCCAGCGUGCCCCGCGGCUGUCGCGCCUUCAAGAUGGCGGCGCCCAGGGUUGGCUCGGGCCUGGACACGGACACGGACACCGACUCGGACAGCAGCGGCGGGGCGGCAGCGCGAUUCCGGGAGGCCGCCUGGGACUGCGCUGCGCAGGCGGCGGUGCCGGUGGAGCCGCGCCGUGGUGAGGAUCGGCGACCGGCUGGGCUCUGCUCUCCCCGCCGGUCUGGGCUGGCCCCCUCCGCAGCUUCUCCUGCCCCGGGGGAGCGGUGGUCAGGCGGGGGCACCUCUCUGCCGCGGUGCCGGUGUCGGAGCCGCUGGGAGGGGGGCUCGGCUCGGUCCUGCCGGCGGCCGGCUGUUGCGCGGCCUCCUGCCGGGGCCAGAGCCCCUUCCCGGGCAGGUUAUCUGCUACAGCUGGGCAGGUUAUCUGCUACAGCCUGGCCGGUGGGAAGUUUCCCUUUCCCUUCGGAACUUUUCCCCCGAAGGUGGGCGUGGAUUGUCUUUCAGGCAUGAUUCUUAA